rnacentral:tRNA from 1 species
AGGUUUUUAGUUUAUUUAAAGAACGGUUAGUUUCGACCUAAUUGGAAUGGGUAUCCAUAAAACCGU